GUGUCAGCAGCCGCGGUAAUACCGGCAGCUCGAGUGAUGACCGAUUUUAUUGGGCCUAAAGCGUCCGUAGCUGGCCGGACAAGUCCGUUGGGAAAUCUGCUCGCUUAACGAGCAGGCGUCCAGCGGAAACUGUUCGGCUUGGGACCGGAAGACCUGAGGGGUACGUCCGGGGUAGGAGUGAAAUCCUGUAAUCCUGGACGGACCAUCGGUGGCGCAAGCGCCUCAGGAGAACGGAUCCGACAGUGAGGGACGAAAGCUAGGGUCUCGAACCGG
rnacentral:rRNA from 1 species